CAGUCGCCGCGGUAAUACGGAGGGUGCAAGCGUUAAUCGGAAUUACUGGGCGUAAAGCGCACGCAGGCGGUCUGUCAAGUCGGAUGUGAAAUCCCCGGGCUCAACCUGGGAACUGCAUUCGAAACUGGCAGGCUAGAGUCUUGUAGAGGGGGGUAGAAUUCCAGGUGUAGCGGUGAAAUGCGUAGAGAUCUGGAGGAAUACCGGUGGCGAAGGCGGCCCCCUGGACAAAGACUGACGCUCAGGUGCGAAAGCGUGGGGAGCAAACAGGAUUAGAUACCCGAGUAGUCCCUGUCUCUUAUAC
rnacentral:rRNA from 1 species